rnacentral:rRNA from 1 species
ACUCCUACGGGAGGCAUCAGUGGGGAAUAUUGCACAAUGGGGGAAACCCUGAUGCAGCCAUGCCGCGUGUGUGAAGAAGGCCUUCGGGUUGUAAAGCACUUUCAGCGAGGAGGAAAGGGUGACAGCUAAUACCUGUCAUCUGUGACGUUACUCGCAGAAGAAGCACCGGCUAACUCCGUGCCAGCAGCCGCGGUAAUAC